rnacentral:rRNA from 1 species
GGAAGCAGGGGAUCGUAAGACCUUAUGCUUUUGGAGUGGCCGAUGUCUGAUUAGCUAGUUGGUAGGGUAAAGGCCUACCAAGGCGACGAUCAGUAGUUGGUCUGAGAGGACGACCAGCCACACUGGGACUGAGACACGGCCCAGACUCCUACGGGAGGCAGCAGUGGGGAAUUUUGGACAAUGGGCGCAAGCCUGAUCCAGCAAUGCCGCGUGAGUGAAGAAGGCCUUCGGGUUGUAAAGCUCUUUCAGUUGGGAAGAAAAGGUUGUAAUGAAUAAUUACAAUUCAUGACGGUACCGAAAGAAGAAGCACCGGCUAACUACGUGCCAGCAGCCGCGGUAAUACGUAGGGUGCUAGCGUUAAUCGGAAUUACUGGGCGUAAAGGGUGCGCAGGCGGUUCUGUAAGUCAGAUGUGAAAUCCCCGGGCUUAACCUGGGAACUGCGUUUGAAACUACAAAGCUAGA